GAUUAACGCUAGCGGCAGGCCUAAUACAUGCAAGUUGUACGGGAUUAUUGGUAGCAAUACUGAUAUGAGAGUAGCGCACGGGUGCGUAACACGUAUGCAACCUACCUUUAACUGGGGAAUAGCCUUCCGAAAGGAAGAUUAAUACCGCAUAACAUUGCGAAACGACAUCGUUUUGCAAUUAAACCUACGGGGGUUAGAGAUGGGCAUGCGUCCGAUUAGCUAGUUGGCGGGGUAAAGCCCACCAAGGCAACGAUCGGUAGGGGUCUGAGAGGAUGAUCCCCCACACUGGCACUGAGACACGGACCAGACUCCUACGGGAGGCAGCAGUGGGG
rnacentral:rRNA from 1 species